AUUGAACGCUGGCGGCAUGCCUUACACAUGCAAGUCGAACGGUAACAGGUCUUCGGAUGCUGACGAGUGGCGAACGGGUGAGUAAUACAUCGGAACGUGCCUAGUAGUGGGGGAUAACUACUCGAAAGAGUGGCUAAUACCGCAUGAGAUCUACGGAUGAAAGCAGGGGAUCGCAAGACCUUGUGCUACUAGAGCGGCCGAUGGCAGAUUAGGUAGUUGGUGGGAUAAAAGCUUACCAAGCCGACGAUCUGUAGCUGGUCUGAGAGGACGAUCAGCCACACGGGGACUGGGACACGGCCCAGACUCCUGCGGGAGGCAGCGGUGGGGAAUUUUGGUCAAGGGGCGAAAGCCUGAUCCAGCAAUGCCGCGUGCAGGAUGAAGGCCUUCGGGUUGUAAACUGCUUUUGUACGGAACGAAAAGCCCCGGGUUAAUACCCUGGGGUCAUGACGGUACCGUAAGAAUAAGCACCGGCUAACUACGUGCCAGCAGCCGCCGUAA
rnacentral:rRNA from 1 species